rnacentral:lncRNA from 1 species
UGGCCAUUGAGUUUUAUAGCCUCCACUGCUACUUGAAGGCCCCAUGUCCUCCAUCUUCCCUAUCGAGAAUCAUCACACUAGCCACUUCUCUCUUCCAUUUUUCCCCUCUUGGCUAUUGGUGCUUAGGCUCUCUGUGGCUAUCGGAACUGGCAUCAUCGGCCAUAAUCAACCAUCAUUGCCAUCUCUGCUAUGUUUGCUUUACUUCUUUCCUAGACAAGG